CAUAAACUGAAUUUCGAUAAAGUUUUAACAAAAGGAAGUGACAUUUUAUAACUUGUGUCUCGCGUAACUCGAACAAUUCUGUUGUAAGAGUGAUGACGCUUUGAAGUUCCCUCAGAGCCAUCUUUACAACGGGCACGAUUGUGGACGGAUGGCUUUUCGUCACAUUGCUGCUUAAGACGCGUUAAUCUUACAACCGACACGAGGAGAUGGCGCUACAUCCCAUUUCCGCAUUGGACGCGUCUUACCGCACCCUCGCUUGUUCAUGGUCCUCCACAGUGUAAGGAAAUCGAGGCUUAUCACCAUUACAAGUAUGGUCAACAUGACAACCACUGCUACCCGUCCUAUGGACGCCGAGGAUACACGAGAGUCCUGUCUGCUUUCUUU